rnacentral:lncRNA from 1 species
GUAAACACAUGAAUGUUGAUUCUCUGCCCAGGAGAUAAACCUUCAUUGUGGCAGUAAUGGAUGCAGCACGCAAACAAGAAAGGAGAUGAAUGUGCUUUUGUUACCCUUCUACUCUCCUUCAGUUCUGGUUGUUAAUGCAUAAGAAGUAGAACACAGUGUUAUGAAAAGUUGAGAACCCUGAAGGCUGAUGCAUUCAUUCUCCAGCAAAAGCCAUCCCAUGAGUGCUGUGGCAAGUGUCCAUGCUAAUUGGAAAAAACUACUUUGUGGACUUUGCUGAGUUAGAUGACCUUCUGAUAUGUGCUGAAAGGAUUUCUUGUGCAUCCAAGAGGAUAGUUUCAGAAGCCCUGCAUACUGAAGCAGCUUUCACAGAUAAAGACUCUAAAGAAGUUCUGGCUAAACCAGAAAACCAGCUACAAGCUUGUCUUUGGAAAACUACCCAAAAGUGUCCCUUCAGCAUUUGUUCCAGGCACAUUUUUCUGCACCUAUAA